GACGAACGCUGGCGGCGUGCCUAAUACAUGCAAGUUGAGCGAUGAAGCUUGGUGCUUGCACCAAUUUGAAGAGCAGCGAACGGGUGAGUAACGCGUGGGGAAUCUGCCUUUGAGCGGGGGACAACAUUUGGAAACGAAUGCUAAUACCGCAUAACAACUUUAAACAUAAGUUUUAAGUUUGAAAGAUGCAAUUGCAUCACUCAAAGAUGAUCCCGCGUUGUAUUAGCUAGUUGGUGAGGUAAAGGCUCACCAAGGCGAUGAUACAUAGCCGACCUGAGAGGGUGAUCGGCCACAUUGGGACUGAGACACGGCCCAAACUCCUACGGGAGGCAGCAGUAGGGAAUCUUCGGCAAUGGACGAAAGUCUGACCGAGCAACGCCGCGUGAGUGAAGAAGGUUUUCGGAUCGUAAAACUCUGUUGGUAGAGAAGAACGUUGGUGAGAGUGGAAAGCUCAUCAAGUGACGGUAACUACCCAGAAAGGGACGGCUAAUUACGUG
rnacentral:rRNA from 1 species